AUGCCUCAGAUUAAUACAGCUACAGUUCUGCAGAUUUGUGUGCUGCUAUCUGCACUUCCUGCACAGUAUUUCAUAUCCCAGUGGUAUGGAACAGACUCUGAUCAGCGCCUCCAAGUGACACAAAGGAUAAUUGGCUAUUGGAACAGAUUAAUAAAGUCCUACUUGAGUCUGGAUGCAUGGACAGACCAUCUAAAGCUGUGGAUAUCAAAGACAAGGAACUGGUACUAUGGAGAAAAGAGAACUCAAGGUGUUGAAGAUGAAGAAGAAAUCCAUGCUUAUUUUGCAGGUACUGGGGAAACUUUAUUUCUAAAAAAGACUGCAGUCUUCAAUCCUUUUGAAUUUUAUUUUGGACAGUUUCAGAGACUUAUCUAGACUUAUCUCCUAAAUGACAAACAAGCAGAGGCCAUCUCUCACACUUCGCUAAAAGUGUUCAUAUGUGCUUGUUCAGGGAGCACUGGUGUCUAAAACAUCUUUGAUAUUCUCAUAGCUGUUUGAUUUAUGACUGAACUAAAACAGAAAGAGAAAAGGUACCAUUUUAUCAGUCUUCAAACUCAAAUAGCUCUUAUUUUCUUCAAAAACCAUCUCUGAACAGAGACUGAAUGGAAAAAAUUUCAGGCAGAAAGAAGCUUUCUUUGUUUUCAGUUAGAAAGGAGAGUGUCACAAUUAAACACAAAAUAGAUAAAUUCAUAUAGCCUCAACUAUGGAGUCUGAACCAUUUCUCUGUAGUACUGUCAAAUAUUGCAUUAAUUAAGACUGAAGAAAACAAAUACUUGUCAACAUAUUUAUUUUGUCUUGAUGAUUUCCCAAAUCCCAUUAAUUUAAUUCCAGGAUACAACAUAAAACAUAAAUGAAUAUUUAUGAAAUAUUAUUAUAACAUUCUGAACAAAUGCUGUUUGGUUUUAACAGCAAACUAGCUGUUUGUACUAAAGACUGUUAGUCUUCAUACGCCUAGUUUUACUUUAUUAAUUGCCCAAUCUGUUUGUUUGUCACUGGAUGUCCAACAGAGUAAAGUCUAUUAAAUGUUUUCUAUUGUACUUGAUCAAACACUUUUUCCUUGAUAAAUCUGUUCUCUUGUUUUACUAGAAUCAACUCACAUUCACAGUCCAAAGCCAGAAUCUGUUCAGUUUAAUGUGGGACAGGUGAUAAUACACAGAAGAUUUGGCUAUUCAGGAGUCAUUGUUGGCUGGGACGUAAAAGCUAGAGCUCCAGAAGAAUGGCUGCAGCACAAAUAUCCUCCAGAGAAACAGGUCUGAAAGUAUUUAACUCUUGCUUUAUUAAUAUUUAUACAAAAUAAUUCAGAUAACUUGUUCCUAGCCUCCCUUUUUCAUAUACUGUGACUUUCUACCUCCAUGAAAGUGUCUCAAAGCCAGACUCCAGAAAUGAACACUGGUUAGGACAUUUAUGCAAGUCAGGGAAGACUAAAGCCAUUGUAGAUGGUUUUCUGAGAGAGUGGAUUCUGGCUGACUAACUUUUAGUAGUUCCUACUAUCAGAUGUAUAGAAUGUUUAGCAACUUCCUAGGUAGCCAUUGGUCUGGUGCCAGAGUAAUGGCUAAAUAGCAAAAGAAAGGGAAAGAAAAAAGCAGCUGAUGCCAUCAUUGAAUGGUAAGAAAAUCCAUUGUAAAAUCCCUACAGAUUAGAUGGCAAACCCACUGGGCUCCAACAUCAGUAUUUUCCAUAGAAUUAAUCAAAUUUUAAAAGCUGCUUGGAGAGCAUAACGUAACAGACGUAUGCUUCUCCGAUAUCUGACUAUUUUGAAACAUAUUUCUCCCUGAUUUUGUUUGAAUAGUUAGAGGAAGGAAGCCUGCAUAACUUGGCAAACUACCAUGACGUGGACACAUAAUUGGUUAAACAACCUCAAAUAAAUAAUAACUAUUAAUGGAACA
ensembl:lncRNA